rnacentral:rRNA from 1 species
GACGAACGCUGGCGGCGUGCUUAACACAUGCAAGUCGAACGGUGAAGCUCCAGCUUGCUGGAGUGGAUCAGUGGCGAACGGGUGAGUAACACGUGAGCAACCUGCCCCUGACUCUGGAAUAAGCGCUGGAAACGGCGUCUAAUACUGGAUACGAGAAGGGUCCGCAUGGGCACUUUCUGGAAAGUUUUUCGGUUGGGGAUGGGCUCGCGGCUUAUCAGCUUGUUGGUGAGGUAAUGGCUCACCAAGGCGGUGACGGGUAGCCGGCAUGAGAGGGUGAACGGGGACAGUGGGACUGAGGGACGGACCAGUGUGGGAGGGGGGGCAGUGGGGGAGAAGAUGGCACAGUGGGGGGGAGUGUGGGGUAGAGGCGUUGGGGGUGGGAUGAGGGUCUUUGGGGUGCGAAAAGGUUUCGGCUGAGACGAAGCGGGAGUGACGGUAACGGAAGAAGAAGCACCGGCUAACUACGUG